UACGUAGGGCGCAAGCGUUGUCCGGAAUUAUUGGGCGUAAAGAGCUCGUAGGCGGUUUGUCGCGUCUGCUGUGAAAACCUAAGGCUCAACCUUGGGCUUGCAGUCGAUACGGGCAGACUAGAGUGCUGUAGGGGAGACUGGAAUUCCUGGUGUAGCGGUGAAAUGCGCAGAUAUCAGGAGGAACACCGGUGGCGAAGGCGGGGUCUCUGGGCAGUAACUGACGCUGAGGAGCGAAAGCGUGGGGGGAGCGAAACGGGG
rnacentral:rRNA from 1 species